rnacentral:rRNA from 1 species
UCAAUCUCGUGCGGCUAGAAGCCGCCUGUCCCUCUAAGAAGAUUGCUACGCCGAGAGCGUAAAGAUCUCGGCGCCUAGUUAGCAGGUUAGAGUCUCGUUCGUUAU